rnacentral:rRNA from 1 species
CCUACGGGAGGCAGCAGUGGGGAAUUUUGGACAAUGGGCGCAAGCCUGAUCCAGCAAUGCCGCGUGAGUGAAGAAGGCCUUCGGGUUGUAAAGCUCUUUUGUCAGGGAAGAAACGGUGGAGGCUAAUAUCCUUUGCUAAUGACGGUACCUGAAGAAUAAGCACCGGCUAACUACGUGCCAGCAGCCGCGGUAAUACGUAGGGUGCAAGCGUUAAUCGGAAUUACUGGGCGUAAAGCGUGCGCAGGCGGUUUUGUAAGUUUGUCGUGAAAUCCCCGGGCUCAACCUGGGAAUGGCGAUGAAGACUGCAAGGCUAGAAUCUGGCAGAGGGGGGUAGAAUUCCACGUGUAGCAGUGAAAUGCGUAGAGAUGUGGAGGAACACCGAUGGCGAAGGCAGCCCCCUGGGUCAAGAUUGACGCUCAUGCACGAAAGCGUGGGGAGCAAACAGGAUUAGAUACCCUGGUAGUCCACGCCCUAAACGAUGUCUACUAGUUGUCGGGUUUUAAUUAACUUGGUAACGCAGCUAACGCGUGAAGUAGACCGCCUGGGGAGUACGGUCGCAAAGAUUAAAACUCAAAAGGAAUUGACGGCUGAGAGNGCGAGACGACACGAGGAGGAGG